UACGAGGGGGGCGAGCGUUGUUCGGAAUUAUUGGGCGUAAAGGGCGCGUAGGCGGUGCGGUAAGUCACCUGUGAAACCUCUGGGCUUAACUCAGAGCCUGCAGGCGAAACUGCCGUGCUGGAGUGUGGGAGAGGUGCGUGGAAUUCCCGGUGUAGCGGUGAAAUGCGGUAGAUAUCGGGGAGGAACACCUGUGGCGAAAGCGGCGCACUGGACCACAACUGACGCUGAGACGCGAAAGCUAGGGGAGCAAACAGG
rnacentral:rRNA from 1 species